AAAUGGCUCCCCACCAUUGGCCACUGUUAUUGUCAAGGGAUGAGUUCGUACUAAUUCAACUCCUUCCUUGGCCCACUUGGGGGUAACAAAGUUGUGAGUGUUUCCACUAUCAAUUAAGACAUUGAUAGGCCUCCCUUUAAUAAGUCCUUAAUAUUCUGAGUGUACUGUGUCCAACACUCCCUAUCAAGGCAUUAAUAGAUAUCUCCAAUGUUCCAUCAUUUCUUUUUCUUCAGUUGCAACCUCCUUUUCCUCUAUUAUUUCUUCUUCCAUGGAAUUAAAAUAUUUAACCUUGCAUUGAUGGCCAGGAGUAAACUUUUCUCCAUACCUAAAACUGAGGUCAUUGGCUCUUCUAUAAUCCAAAAAAGCUUUUCCGUUUUGUGAACUGCCUUGGUUUGAUUUCUAAGGUCGGGACAAGUCCUUUGAGGAAAGGUUAGGGUGAGGGUUUGGUUGAAUUUGGUAAUCAAUCUGUACUGACAUUUCAUGCAAUUUAGCUUGCCUGGCAGCAGUACCAGCACUAGCUAAAGAAGAAGGCUUAUUGACCUUAGCCCUGUGUUUAAUAUCUUCCUUCAAUCUACCGAUGAAGCUGGAUACAAUGUAAUUUUCUUCCAGGUCCUAUCACAAAAUCUCUGACAAAGAUCUACAACAAAUUCAGGCCAAGUGGUUCGAUGCUUUUGCAAAAUAUAGCCAUCAUACCAAGUCUCUGCCUUUCCCACCAAAUACAUGGAAGCAAUAUCAACCUUCUGAUCCUCAGCUACAGAAAACAUUGAGAAAUAUCUUUGACAUUUCUUGACCCACCCCAAGGAUUUGAGUUCAUAUUGGGAAUUUAGUUUGGUUCCCCAAGUUGGAAGGUGUAUUGGAGGAGGAUUCUUCACCCUUUUUGGUCAAUGACUCCAAUAUUCUACUAAUAUAUCUCUGUGUUUCUACAAAUGUGGCAUCGAUACUACUUUUUUGCUCUUCCAACCACUUAGGAAUUUUGGUUUCAUCUUGCAGGCUUUCUAAUUGUUCCUGCACCAUUGUAUUUGCUCAUGCAACUGUGUGAAUCUAGUGCCUUCGGCUCCCACCAUAGUGUUCACCUUUUUUUUGCUUUCCUAACUCGACUAGUGAAUCUUUGUAGGCUCUGGUUGUCAUAACCUUGGCAGUGACAAUGAAUUUUAUAAAAGAAAUGGAGAAGAAGAAGAAGCAGAAGAAGAAGUUUGAUAAUUUCAUUCAUAAGGAAGAUUAAUCAUAACAUACGUACUAACAUUUCUUUGUUAGUACCUCAUGAUGGUGCCAUGUGUGACUUGUUGUGGUCGGAUCCAGAAGAUGUCGUCGAUGGUUGGGCUUUGAGUCUGCGUGGUGCAGAAUUCCUCUUCGGUAGCACCAACAUUUCUUUGUUCAACCACACCAACAACAUCGACUAUAUAUGUCGUGCCCAUCAGUUGGUCAUGGAAAGGUACAAAUAGAUGUUGAAUAACCAAAUAGUCACCAUCUGGUCAGCUCCCAAUUACCGCUACAGGUAAAUGAUAUUUUUGUCUUUCCUUGUGCCAAUUGGUGGUUGGUUGGUUCAUGGUGGUGAUGAUGCAAAUAUGGUAACGGUGCUGCAAUUUUGGAGGUGGAUGAGAAUCUCAACAAGCAAUUUCGGGUGUUUAAAGCAGCACAACAUGAGGAAAUGUGUUACAAUAUGAAGUUUGGUCUACGUUUUAGUGGUAUCACAUAUGGUUCAAGAUGUGUGAAAAUUCACCACAUAAAUGCACGUGCCGAAUCAAGUAAUAAAGUGAUAAGAAGAUGUCGUUCCCAAGCAGACCAAAUUAUAAGUUGCUAAGUACCAAAUUAUAAAAAUUACUAAGUUUCUCAAUCAAUUUUAUGGUCUUGGAACUCUAACUUCACCUAUUUUCGUUAAUCAA